CCUACGGGAGGCAGCAGUGAGGAAUAUCGGUCACUGGGUGAGAGCCUGAUACAGCCAUGCCGCUUGCGGGAAGACGGCCCUAUGGGUUGUAAACUGCUUUUAUACAGGAACAAACCACCUUACGAGUAGGGUGUUGAAGGUACUGCAUGAAUAAGCACCGGCUAACUCCGUGCCAGCAGCCGCGGUAAU
rnacentral:rRNA from 1 species